rnacentral:rRNA from 1 species
CCUACGGGAGGCAGCAGUGAGGAAUAUUGGUCAAUGGACGAGAGUCUGAACCAGCCAAGUAGCGUGAAGGAUGACUGCCCUAUGGGUUGUAAACUUCUUUUAUAAAGGAAUAAAACGAGGCACGUGUGCCUUUUCGCAUUUACUUUAUGAAUAAGGAUCGGCUAACUCCGUGCCAGCAGCCGCGGUAAUACGGAGGAUCCGAGCGUUAUCCGUUUUUAUUUGGUUGAAAGGGAGCGUAGAUGGGUUGUUAAGUCAGUUGUGAAAGUUUGCGGCUCAACCGUAGAAUUGCAAUGGAUACUGGAAGUCGUGAGUGCAGUUGAGGUAGGCGGAAUUCGAGGUGUAGCGGUGAAAUGCGUAGAGAGAUGGAAGAACCCCAAUGGCGAAGGCAGCUUACUAAUCUGUAACUGACGUUGAUGUUCGAAAGUGUGGGUAUCAAACAGGAUUAGAUACCCUAGUAGUC